UCUGGGGCCCGGUUUACCUACCGCUCUGCAUAGCGUUUUCGGGUGGAUUUUGACAGGGGCAGUCAAUUCUAAUUCUGUACCCUUGAACACAGCGUGCUCUUUAAUCGCCACCACAUUUAAAUUAGAGAAACAAAUUCAAAAAUUUUGGGAUGUGGAGGAACCACCACGUGCUAUUAUCACCGUACCCGAGAAUGAUACUUGCGAACGCAUGUACACAGAACUAACCUAUCGCGAACCUAACGGCCGAUAUGUCGUACCUAUCGUCUUAAAGGAAGGCGAUCGGUCAUUGGGUGAAUCUUACAAUAAUACACUCUCGCGUUUUACUAAUCUUGAAAAGAAACUAAAUCGUCAGACUGAACUUAAAUCCGAUUCCACUUCAACCUUUUCAAGGUGAUCUUCCACCUUCCCGACUACAACCGGGUCAUUGUUUUCAAACAAUCGGCAUCGACUUCGGAGGUCCGUUUAUCAUAAAAGAAAGUAGACGCCGUAACGCUAAAACUUACAAAGCAUAUCUCUGCCUCAUAGUAUGCCACGCUACCAAGGCAGUUGAUCUCGGGCUCGUCACCGAGCUCACAUCUGAAGCGUUUAUAGCGGCCUUGGAUCGGUUUGUGUCACGCAGAGGACUUUGUCACUCUAUAGUCACAGAUGGUGGUACUAACUUCGUGGGUGCCAGACGUUAUUUAUCGGAAGUCAGCGAAAUGCUUAAACGCGAUAGCAACAGUAUUUCCAAUCAGCUCGCUUCUCGAGGAAUUACGUGGAAGCUCAAUCCUCCUUCGGGCCCUCACUUCGGAGGCAUAUUCGAGAGCGGUAUAAAAUCUACUAAAUACCAUCUCAAACGUAUAAUCGGAUCGCAGGUUCUUACCUUUGAAGAAUUUUAUACGAUCUUAACGAAAGUAGAAGCCAUGUUAAACUCUAGACCCUUAGUGGAAUUAUCUUCCGAUCCCGACGAGGUUGACGCUCUUACGGCUGGCCACUUCCUCAUCGGUCGACCAUUAAUAUCUCUUCCCGAACCGGUACAUUCGGAAAACGAAACUUUACGUACUCGUUGGCAGCUCUUACAGCGCCUAUCUCAGAGUUUUUGGCGCACUUGGCAAAGGGACUAUUUACAUACGUUGCAACAGCGACUAAAAUGGUUUAAACAUGGCAACCAUCAGCCGAAGUUGAAUGAUCUUGUAACCAUUUACGAACCCAACUUACCUGCUAACGAAUGGAGGUUGGGUCGCGUCGUACAGCUCCAUCCGGGUAAAGAUAACAUUACUUGCGUGGUAACAGUCAAAACAUCAAAAGGCUUACUUACAAGACCUGCUGUCAAAAUUUGUCCUCUUCCAAUUGAACAAAACAACUAAUUUAACUACACAAUUUUUUAUUACACACAUUAUCUUAUUAUCUUAAUUAUUUUAUUAAAUGUUAUUAUUACUCACUUAUCUUAAAACUUAUACGUAUCUAGUAUCAUAUUAUUAAUAUAUAUCAACUAAAAUCUUAUAAUGAUGACACAUGAAUCUGCAUAGGCCUUCGAUCUUAAAUCUUAAAUUAUCAAACCGUAUCUUAUGAAAUCCCUGGGUGAUUUCAAGUGGGGGGAUAUGAACAGGCUUUGGGAUACUUCCUUUCCCAUCCUUGCCUCCCUAUUCUACAUAAUCAUAAAGCACCGAACGCAACCAUAACUGCGCAACGAACGCCACCUAUUGGACUCAUAGACAAAACUCCAGUUUCAAACUCAGCAAUGGCCGGCCGGCAUCGAUAACUGCGCGCGCGGUGUAAAAAAUCAAGUUAAACCUGUGAAUACGACUAAAAGUGCUCUGGUGUUGUGAUCUCUGUGUUCCUGGCAUCCUCUGAGGAAAAUGCCUGACGCAUACACACACCGCCCGGGGAGACGGUGAGGUUAUGUGGGGCUUGCACCCACUAAAAACCUCAGCGUUUGUGCCGUCUUCUGCCUUUUAAAGAGGGACCACGAGGACCAAAGACGACUUUCGUGACCUCUCGGCAGUGGCUGGUCGCCUCCGUCUACUGGCGAUCCAUCUCAGCAGCAGCUCGUGCAAUGCAGGUAGUGCAGUUCCCCGGUCUGCUACCUGCUGGCUGCAGGAUUAAAGACUCUCAGCUCUGUAUGCGCAUGAAGACUGAGCCGAUGACUGUGAGCAGCAGCUUGAAGGUCCUGAACACCAGGGUUCUGAUGUAGUGGUUCUGCAGCAUCAGCCUGCAGAUCAACGUCACCACGAAGAACAGGAAACC